rnacentral:piRNA from 1 species
UAUUGAGUAUGUAGAACUCAAAGUUCUCCUG